rnacentral:rRNA from 1 species
UACGUAGGGUGCAAGCGUUAUCCGGAAUUAUUGGGCGUAAAGAGCUCGUAGGCGGUUUGUCGCGUCUGCUGUGAAAACUGGAGGCUCAACCUCCAGCCUGCAGUGGGUACGGGCAGACUAGAGUGCGGUAGGGGAGAUUGGAAUUCCUGGUGUAGCGGUGGAAUGCGCAGAUAUCAGGAAGAACACCUAUGGCGAAAGCAGCUCUCUGGGACGGUACUGACGCUGAGACGCGAAAGCGUGGGGAGCGAACAGG